UCCAGGGUAACCUAGUGGACAUGGCAUCUGCCCGGUAAGCGGAACAUUGUGGGUUCGAUUCCCAUCUCUGGAC
rnacentral:tRNA from 1 species